AUUGAACGCUGGCGGAAUGCUUUACACAUGCAAGUCGAACGGCAGCACGGACUUCGGUCUGGUGGCGAGUGGCGAACGGGUGAGUAAUGUAUCGGAACGUGCCCAGUCGUGGGGGAUAACGUAGUGAAAAUUACGCUAAUACCGCAUACGAUCUAUGGAUGAAAGCGGGGGAUCGCAAGACCUCGCGCGAUUGGAGCGGCCGAGAUCAGAUUAGGUAGUGGGUGGGGUAAAGGCACACCAAGCGAAGGAUAUGUAGCUGGUCUGAGAGGACGACCGGCCACACUGGAACUGAGACACGGUACAGAAUCCUACGGGAGGCAGCAGUGGGGAAUUUUGGACAAUGGGCGAAAGCCUGAUCCAGCCAUUCCGCGUGCAGGAUGAAGGCCCUCGGGUUGUAAACUGCUUUUGUACAGAACGAAAAGGUUUCUACUAAUACUAGGAGCUCAUGACGGUACUGUAAGAAUAAGCACCGGCUAACUACGUGCCAGCCGCCGCAGUAA
rnacentral:rRNA from 1 species